GACGAACGCUGGCGGCGUGCUUAACACAUGCAAGUCGAACGGAAAGGCCCAGCUUGCUGGGUACUCGAGUGGCGAACGGGUGAGUAACACGUGGGUGAUCUGCCCUGCACUCUGGGAUAAGCCUGGGAAACUGGGUCUAAUACCGGAUAUGACCGACUGUCGCAUGGUGGUUGGUGGAAAGCUUUUGCGGUGUGGGAUGGGCCCGCGGCCUAUCAGCUUUUUGGUGGGGUAAUGGCCUACCAAGGCGACGACGGGUAGCCGACCUGAGAGGGUGAUCGGCCACACUGGGACUGAGACACGGCCCAGACUCCUACGGGAGGCAGCAGUGGGGAAUAUUGUACAAUGGGCGCAAGCCUGAUGCAGCGACGCCGCGUGAGGGAUGACGGCCUUCGGGUUGUAAACCUCUUUCACCAGGGACGAAGCGUGAGUGACGGUACCUGGAGAAGAAGCACCGGCCAACUACGUG
rnacentral:rRNA from 1 species